GACGAACGCUGGCGGCGUGCUUAACACAUGCAAGUCGAGCGACGCUCUUCCUUCGGGGAGCUGACGGAGCGGCGAACGGGUGAGUAACACGUGGGCAACCUGCCCCUAGCUCUGGGACAACACCGGGAAACCGGUGCUAAUACCGGAUACGACAUCGAGCGGCAUCUCUCGAUGUGGAAAGUUUUUUCGGCUAGGGAUGGGCCCGCGGCCUAUCAGCUUGUUGGUGGGGUAAUGGCCCACCAAAGCGACGACGGGUAGCCGGCCUGAGAGGGCGACCGGCCACACUGGGACUGAGACACGGCCCAGACUCCUACGGGAGGCAGCAGUGGGGAAUAUUGCGCAAUGGGCGAAAGCCUGACGCAGCGACGCCGCGUGAGGGAUGACGGCCUUCGGGUUGUAAACCUCUUUCAGCAGGGACGAAUUCAGACGGUACCUGCAGAAGAAGCACCGGCCAACUACGUG
rnacentral:rRNA from 1 species